UACGUAGGGGGCUAGCGUUGUCCGGAUUUAUUGGGCGUAAAGAGCUCGUAGGCGGUCUGUCGCGUCUGCUGUGAAAACUCAGGGCUUAACCCUGAGCUUGCAGUGGGUACGGGCAGACUAGAGUGCGGUAGGGGAGACUGGAAUUCCUGGUGUAGCGGUGAAAUGCGCAGAUAUCAGGAGGAACACCGGUGGCGAAGGCGGGUCUCUGGGCCGUAACUGACGCUGAGGAGCGAAAGCAUGGGGAGCGAACAGG
rnacentral:rRNA from 1 species